UGGGGAAUCUUGCACAAUGGGGGAAACCCUGAUGCAGCGACGCCGCGUGAACGAUGAAGCCCUUCGGGGUGUAAAGUUCUUUCGACAGGAACGAUAAUGACGGUACCAGAGGAGGAAGCCACGGCUAACUACGUGCCAGCAGCCGCGGUAAUACGUAGGUGGCAAGCGUUGUCCGGAUUUACUGGGCGUAAAGGAUGCGUAGGCGGAUACUUAAGUCAGAUGUGAAAAUCCCGGGCUUAACUUGGGAACUGCAUUUGAAACUGGGUAUCUAGAGUGCGGGAGAGGAAAGUGGAAUUCCUAGUGUAGCGGUGAAAUGCGUAGAGAUUAGGAAGAACACCAGUGGCGAAGGCGACUUUCUGGACCGUAACUGACGCUGAGGCAUGAAAGCGUGGGGAGCAAACA
rnacentral:rRNA from 1 species